GUGAGGAAUUUUCCGCAAUGGGCGAAAGCCUGACGGAGCAAUGCCGCGUGAAGGAUGAAGGCCUAUGGGUUGUAAACUUCUUUUCUCAGAAAAGAAUUAUGACGGUAUCUGAGGAAUAAGCAUCGACUAACUCUGUGCCAGCAGCCGCGGUAAGACAGAGGAUGCAAGCGUUAUCCGGAAUGAUUGGGCGUAAAGCGUCUGUAGGUUGUUUAAAAAGUAUUCUGUCAAAGAUUAGGGCUUAACCCUAGAUAGGCAGAAUAAACUUUUAAGCUAGAGUUUGGUAGAGGCAGAGGGAAUUCCCGGUGGAGCGGUGAAAUGCGUAGAUAUCGGGAGGAACACCAAAGGCGAAGGCACUCUGCUGGGCCAAUACUAACACUGAGAGACGAAAGCGAGGGGAGCAAAUGGGAUUAGAUACCCGGGUAGUCC
rnacentral:rRNA from 1 species